rnacentral:lncRNA from 1 species
AGUUGUUUCUUCUUUUCUCACGUCGAUAGUGUAGCUUUAUGCCAGAGUGACUGAAGAAACUGAGUUCUCAUCAUUUGAGGAAGAUGUGUAUCAGAAUUGACUUAUCUGACUGAGUGUGCGUUUAGUUAUAACAUGAUGUUUCAUGUACUACUGACUUACUAUUUUUUAAUUCUCAGUUUGAUAGUAUAAUUUAUGCCAAAAGUGGUAUAAUUUAUGCCAAAAGUGAAUUAUCAGACUGAGUUCCUAUCAUUUGAGUUUGGAUUCUGAAGUGAUCAUGUCUUUCUCAGUUUUAACACUAUGAUGUAUAUUGGGACUGACUAAUCAGACGAGUUUUUAUCAUUCGAAUUACAUAGAAUAGUUUAAAAUGCCAGAAGUGACUAAUCAGACUGAGUUGUUAUCAUUUGAGAUGAUGCUAUGUUCUUUUUAGUUAUCACCAUUCGUUUUUCCCGGUUUCAUAGUACAUUUUAAAAUACCAGAAAAAACAAAUCAGCUUGGUUUUAAAAUGAUAUUAUCAUGUACUACUUCAAAGUGUUAAUUUUGCUUUUUUUCUUUACUCUAUAUCAGGAGUGACUGAUGGGACCUCGUGAAAUUAGAUCAUGGUCAUAGUAUUAAAGUUAAAAAUACCAGGAGAAACUGAGCAGAUAUGAUCUAUAUCGGGACUGACUGAUCAGACUUCGUUUUUAUAAUUCAAAUUUCAUAGUAUGGUUUAAAAUAUCAGA